AGAGUUUGAUCCUGGCUCAGAACGAACGCUGGCGGCAUGCCUAACACAUGCAAGUCGAACGAUCCCUUCGGGGAUAGUGGCGCACGGGUGCGUAACGCGUGGGAACCUGCCCUUAGGUUCGGAAUAACAGUUAGAAAUGACUGCUAAUACCGGAUAAUGUCUUCGGACCAAAGAUUUAUCGCCUUUGGAUGGGCCCGCGUUGGAUUAGCUAGUUGGUGGGGUAAAGGCCUACCAAGGCGACGAUCCAUAGCUGGUUCUGAGAGGAUGAUCAGCCACACUGGGACUGAGACACGGCCCAGACUCCUACGGGAGGCAGCAGUGGGGAAUAUUGGACAAUGGGCGAAAGCCUGAUCCAGCAAUGCCGCGUGAGUGAUGAAGGCCUUAGGGUUGUAAAGCACUUUCGGCGGUGAGGAAGAUUAGUUUUCGAAUAGGGAACUGAUUUGACCGCUAACCGCAAAAGCAGCACC
rnacentral:rRNA from 1 species